UUUUCACGUGGUUAAGGGGAUGGAAAUCCCUACCUUCGGCUCCCACUUCUUCUCCCCCAAUUCAAGCGGCGGCAACUUCUUUUCCAGUGGCGGCUACGAAACGGUUCGAGGUGGAAACGGCUUCAACUCUUUAUAGUUCCUCGAUAGAACCACCCCCUUUUCACCCCGGCAGCAGGGAGGGAAUCGGAUUGUGUAUAUGGGGAGAAUAGGAUGUGUGUCCUGUCUUGCAUAGGUGAUUGUAUACCUUGCACAGGAUACAGGGCAUCAAGUUUAUCCGUUUAGCAUAUUCAUGUUCAUACUCACAUUAAGCUGCCACUGUUGGAUCUGUUGUCCAGCGAUGGUUAUCUCUGCUGAGUUUGCUUGAAUUGCCGCCUCUGCAGCAUCUACUGUUCCUGCUGAUAUUUUAGUUGCUGGCGUUUGAAGCCUACUGGAGCCUGACCGAAGGGAAUUUAGAUUUGGGUUGGACUUUGUUGAAUAAGUUCAUAUACCUUUUGUACAGUCAAGUCAAGUAGACAUAAUCAAAUACAUGAUUGUAUGUAUCAUUUGUUAAGACUUAAUGUGUAGUGGGGUUUAAUUUGACCUUAGUGCAAGUAUAAUGCAGUUAAUGCCAUAGGGCUAAGAGGAGAGACAGUGCCAAAAGCUAGCCCUUAAUAAUCGAAUAUGUUAUCAACACUAGUUUAGAACAGAAUAAUUAUGAGAUAAAAAUGUCCUCCAAGACACAUAAAAAAAGUUCUUUACAAACAAACUUUCAAUUUUUAGUAUUCUCAAAAAUUGUAUUUUUAGUUUAUUGUCGGUAAAUUGGCCGGACAAAAUCGAGUGUUCGCAAAGGGGUUUCAAAACUCUAACAUUUGGAUGAAUAUAUGUAGAUCAAAUAAGGAAAGAAGAAUUGGAUUGGGUAAGGCGCUACAAAAUCAUCGGUGGUAUUGCCUGAGGCCUUCUUUAUCUUCAUGAGGAUUUUCGAUUGCAUAUCAUAUGAUAUCGUGAUCUCAAAGAAAGUAACAUACUCUUAGAUGAAGAGAUGAAUCCCAAGAUAUCAGAUUUGGAAUGGCAAGACUCUUUGUUGUGGAUCAAACGCAAGGAACUAUAAGUACAAUUGUUGGAAAAUAGUGAGUACUAGAAGAUGUUAGAGCAUAUUAAUUGUUAUUAUUAAUAUCAU